GAACGUUGGAACAGCGGUUAGGAGCUUACACCCACCCGUGUUUACAUACUAUUGUUGCUUUGGCGGGCCGUGGCCUCCACUGCGGGCUCUGCUCGUGUGUGCCCGCCAGAGAACCAAACUCUGAAUGUUAGUGAUGUCUGAGUACUAUCUAAUAGUUAAAACUUUCAACAACGGAUCUCUUGGUUCUGGCAUCGAUGAAGAACGCAGCGAAAUGCGAUAAGUAAUGUGAAUUGCAGAAUUCAGUGAAUCAUCGAAUCUUUGAACGCACAUUGCGCCCUGUGGUAUUCCGCAGGGCAUGCCUGUUCGAGCGUCAUUUAACCACUCACGCCUAGCGUGGUAUUGGGGCACGCGGUCUCCGCGGCCCUCAAAAUUAGUGGCGGCGCCGGUGGGCUCUAAGCGUAGUACAUACUCCCGCUAUAGAGUUCCCCCCGGUGGCUCGCCAGAACCCCCAAUUUUUUACAGGUUGACCUCGGAUCAGGUAGGGAUACCCGCUGAACUUAA
rnacentral:rRNA from 1 species